GGAGUCUGGUCCGUGUCUCAGUACCAGUGUGGGGGACCUUCCUCUCAGAACCCCUACGCAUCGUAGCCUUGGUGGGCCGUUGCCCCGCCAACCAGCUAAUGCGCCGCAUGCCCAUCCCCUACCGACGGAUCUUUCCCCGCGCAACGAUGCCGACGCGCGGACUACGGGGCAUUAGGCCAAAUUUCUCUGGGUUAUUCCCCUGUAGGGGGCAGGUUGCAUACGUGUUACUCACCAGUGCGCCGGUCGCCAUCGGGUGGUGUUGCCACCUCCCAUGCUGCCCCUCGACUUGCAUGUGUUAAGCCUGUCGCUAGCGUUCAUC
rnacentral:rRNA from 1 species